GACGAACGUUGGCGGCGUGCUUAAUACAUGCAAGUCCACUGAAGCAGUGGUAGCAAUAUCGCUGUGGAGGUGGCGCACGGGUGAGUAACACGUAGGUAAUCUGCCUUCAGGUCUGGCAUAACUCCGGGAAACCGGGGCUAAUAGCAGAUGAUGCAGCGGCUCGACAUCGAGACAGUUGUUAAAGCUAUGGCGCCUGAAGAUGAGCCUGCGUCUGAUUAGCUAGUUGGCGGGGUAACGGCCCACCAAGGCAACGAUCAGUAGCUGGUCUGAGAGGAUGAUCAGCCACACUGGAACUGAGACACGGUCCAGACCCCUACGGGAGGCAGCAGUAAGGAAUAUUGCUCAAUGGGAGAAAUCCUGAAGCAGCAACGCCGCGUGAGGGAUGAAGGGCUUUUGCUUGUAAACCUCUGUAGUGAGAGAAAAAAAUCCCAAUCUUUGGGACAUGAUGGUAGCUCAAAAGUAAGCCCCGGCUAACUACGUG
rnacentral:rRNA from 1 species